CGCGUAGGCGGCUUUAUAAGUCUGGAGUGAAAGUCCUCUUUUCAAGGGAGGAAUUGCUUUGGAAACUAUAGAGCUUGAGUGCAGGAGAGGUUAUCGGAAUUCCCCGGUGUAGCGGUGAAAUGCGUAGAUAUCGGGAGGAACAUCGGUGGCGAAGGCGGGUAACUGGACUGCAACUGACGCUGAGGCGCGAAAGUGUGGGGAGCAAACA
rnacentral:rRNA from 1 species